rnacentral:rRNA from 1 species
AACGUAGGAGACGAACGUUAUCCGGAGUUACUGGGCGUAAAGGGCGUGUAGGCGGUUUGUUAAGUCUGGCGUGAAAGCUCUCGGCUAAACCGGGAGAGGUCGUUGGAUACUGGCAAACUAGAGGAUGGUAGAGGCGUGUGGAAUUCCGGGUGUAGUGGUGAAAUGCGUAGAGAUCCGGAGGAACACCAGUGGCGAAGGCGACACGCUGGGCCAUACCUGACGCUAAAGCGCGACAGCAUGGGGAGCAAACGGGAUUAGAAACCCCCGUAGUCC